UAGCGAGAGGGAAACGCCCGGUCACAUUCCGAACCCGGAAGCUAAGCCUCUCAGCGCCGAUGGUACUGCAAGGGGGACCUUGUGGGAGAGUAGGACACCGCCGGAC
rnacentral:rRNA from 2 species